rnacentral:rRNA from 1 species
GGCUCAGGAUGAACGCUGGCGGCGUGCUUAACACAUGCAAGUCGAACGGGCUCAUAUUGAAACCUAGUGAUUUAUGAGUUAGUGGCGGACGGGUGAGUAACGCGUGGAAAACCUGCCGUAUACUGGGGGAUAACACUUAGAAAUAGGUGCUAAUACCGCAUAAGCGCACAGCUUCGCAUGAAGUGGUGUGAAAAACUCUGGUGGUAUACGAUGGUUCCGCGUCUGAUUAGCUUGUUGGUGGGGUAAUGGCUCACCAAGGCGACGAUCAGUAGCCGGCCUGAGAGGGUGAACGGCCACAUUGGGACUGAGACACGGCCCAAACUCCUACGGGAGGCAGCAGUGGGGAAUAUUGCACAAUGGGGGAAACCCUGAUGCAGCGACGCCGCGUGAGUGAAGAAGUAUUUCGGUAUGUAAAGCUCUAUCAGCAGGGAAGAAAUAGCGACCUUUGGGUCGCCAGACGGUACCUGAUUAAGAAGCCCCGGCUAACUACGUGCCAGCAGCCGCGGUAAUACGU